GUGCCCACCUCAGUACUUCCCUUACUCAGGAAAAAAUUACCCAUGGACUCUUUAAUAAUAAGGAAAAUAAGUGCAUUUGAAGCCAGUCUUACUUCAGAGGUCAUUUCUAUAAUCACCCGUUUGGAGCAGCAGUGCCCGACAUCGGCAUCUGGGAUCCUGACACGAUUGAUAGAACCGAAUCAAGCAAGACAAUACCACCCCACUUUUAUUCGCUGUGAUUUGCAAGAAAGAGAAAAUGGUGGAAUUUUUAUUGAAAAAGCAAAUACACAUGCCGUUGAUAGGCCGAGAUGGUACAGCAGUUCUUUUUUAAAGCGAAAAGCUGUUUAUUCUAGAGUUGUAAGAGUCAAGUCAGAAGUACUAAUAAGCUGCAUGUAAUUAUUGGCAUAUAGUGAAAAAUAUCACCACGAACAAUCAGGUAGACCAGCAAGUAUUUGGACUAACAAAGAAGAACAUAUGACGGAGUCUCACUCCGUUGCCAGCCUGGAGUGCAGUGGUGGGAUCUCGGCUCACUGCAACCUCCACCUGCCAGGUUCAAGCGAUUCUCCUGCCUCAGCCUCCCACGUAGCUGGGACUACAGAACAGCCCUCAUGCUUGCUGUGCACUAUGACCCGCCAGGUAUUGUCAACAUCCUUCUUAAGCAAAAUGUUAAGAGCUCUACUCAAGACAUGUGUGGAUGAGAGGCUGAAGACUUCCCUCUUGUGGGUUGACAAAGGAGUCUCACUCCGUUGCCAGCCUGGAGUGCGUUGGUGUGAUCUCGGCUCACUGCAUCCUCCACGUCCCAGGUUCGAGCGAUUCUCCUGCCUCAACCUCCCACGUAGCUGGGACUACAGCAGCGUGUCCCCGAGAAAGUGUCGGAGCCUUUACCUCGACCUUCCUGUGAAAAAGGGAACAGAAUAGUCAACGGAAAAGGAGAAGAUGAAGCAACGAUGAAGGUUGAAUGUCUCACGCCUGUAAACCCCAGCACUUUGAGAGGCUGAGGCCGACAGAACACUUGAGCCCAACAGUUCAAGACCAGCCUGGGCAACAAGGCAAAACCCCGUCUCUACAGAAACUACAGAAAUCAGCCCAGCAUGGUGACACAGGUCAACGGUCAAAACGACUUGGAUGGCUUGAAGUGUGAGGAUCACCUGAGCCCAGGAAAUGGAGAUAGGAGUGAGCCAAGGUCUCGCCACCGCACUCCAGCCUGCGUUACAGAGUGAAUCCCCCUCUCAAAAAACAGCCGUUAAAAUGCUGCUUACGCGGAAGACUGUGUUCUAGGUACUCCAGGAUACACACAAAUAUGUUUGCUGACCUCCAGUGGCCCAUGAUUCCACUUCUGCAAGGCUCCACAGAAGUCUCCAACCUUCAAAUCUUCAGUCUCCGAAAGCACCGAUUCCUGAAAGGAUGGCCUCAAAUGACCAAGUAUACGAGCCGUCUAUAUCCCUGCUCCUGAAAAACAAGCUAACUGGACUCUCCAUCACCUUCCCCCAGCACAGACGCACUACCAGCUACGCAGCUGAACUCCAUGACUGACUUGCCAUCCAAUCAUGCCCCUGACCCAGCCUACAUGAACAAGGGAAGGAAUAUCAGCGAAUUAGGAAAAGAGGCAGAGGUGAGGAGACCACCUGUCCUGGGCCACAGAGCUAUGUAGAGUUCAUCAAUCUCCAGCCCCUUAGUAUUCCAGGGGCUCUAAACCACCUUCUGUAAGUCAGGAUGGAAGUAGAUGGUGCCACGAAGAUUUCUCUCUGCUGUAGCCACUCCUUCAGUGUCUCAAAAUGUUUUAACAUCUUUCAGUAAAAAUCUGUCAGUCCUUGAUAAAUUAAAAAAAAAAAAGGCAGCAAAGUUUUUAGAGCUCCCUUGAACCUUCUAUUUUAAGGCGCCUUUGUAGAUAAUUCCCAACAUUCUGUGUGUCGGUCAUCUUUGGAAUUUAUCGAUCGAUCAUUGUUUCUCUUCAAACUUGGCCUUGCCCUGCCCAUUCCAUUCUUACCCGCUUUCAUUGGCUUCACUAGUCAAUUCCACACUCAUUCUAGACACUGGGUGCACGAGACUCACUCCCGUUUGUAUUACCAAAACUCAGGCCAAUAGGAUAUAAAAAGUAGGAAGAAUACUGGGAUUUAACAUGAGUACAAAUCUCAUUUCUUCCAAUUCCUAUGUCUUCUUGAAUCCUAAUCUUUCUGAGACUCAAGUUUUCUAUCUAAACGAUCCCUUGACCAGAAUGUUCAACAGACGUGACAAUACUAGAACGUGUUUUAAUUCAUUCUAAGAUUCCUUAAAAUUCUGUAAUUCUAUGUGCUUCUGAUUCUGGGAAUACAUAGCCAGCAGAAUUUGAAAAACGAAUAGAAUUAAAGAAAUAACAAAGACAAAAAAAAAAAAAAAAAAAAAA
ensembl:lncRNA